AUGUCAUCCCGAACUUGCUGCUCCGGCCUCCCGGCGACGCCUCGCCGGCAGGCGGGCCACCACACCCUCCCACUCCCGGCGGCUUGUGGCCUCUCCUUCGCCCCCGAAUUCGGCUCUUCUAGCCGCCGCGGCCGUCCUCCUCCGUUCUGCUGCACCAGCACUGCGCGGACUCGGGUGGUCGCUUCUUGUUCCGUUCCCAGGAGGAAUGUACUAUCCACACUGCUAUCCGCUUCAACGGUGCUACUUCUCGGACCAAGAGAGAUCACCUUAGCUGAGACCACCGGCGGUGCAUUCAGGGAGUACAUCGACACAUUUGACGGCUACUCCUUCAUAUACCCAAAGGGCUGGAUCCAGGUCAAAGGAGCUGGCGCGGACAUAUUCUUCAGAGAUCCGGUCCUCCUGGACGUGAACAUGUCCGUCGACAUAUCAUCCCCUUCUUCGUCAACGUACAAGACGGUCGAGGACCUAGGCCCCCCUGAGAAGGCUGCUGAGGGAGUUCUGAAGCAGUAUUUGACGGAGUUCAUGUCGACCAGACUAGGUGUUCGACGCGAGUCGAAUGUCUUGUCAGCGUCGUCCAAGGUCGCCGACGAUGGCAAGCUCUACUACGAGGUUGAGGUGAACAUCAAGUCGUACGCAAGCAACAAUGAGCUAGCGGUGAUGCCGAAAGACAGGGUGCAGAGCCUGGAGUGGGACCGGCGGUACCUGACAGUCCUCGGCGUCGAGAACAACCAGCUGUAUGCGCUACGGCUGCAGACGCCGGAACGGUUGCUCUCGGAGGAAGAUGGAGACCUGAGGAGAGUCAUGGACUCCUUCAGGGUCAACAAGAUACAAGCGUAG
rnacentral:rRNA from 1 species